AGAGUAUCAUCCUCUUUUUGUUGCUACCAAAAUGUAAAUUUUCUUAUAAAUUAUACUCUG
rnacentral:tRNA from 1 species